rnacentral:rRNA from 1 species
CAUGAGAUUGUGGUUAAAGAACCGGUAACAGGUUGCCGAUGGCUGGGCGUAUAUCCGAUUAGCUAGUUGGUAGUGUAAUGGACUACCAAGUCGACGAUCGGUAGCUGGUCUGAGAGGAUGAUCAGCCACACUGGCACUGAGACACGGGCCAGACUCCUACGGGAGGCAGCAGUGGGGAAUAUUGGGCAAUGCCCGCAAGGGUGACCCAGCAACGCCGCGUGGAGGAUGAAGGCCGUAAGGUUGUAAACUCUGACAAGCAGGGAAGAACGGCUAUGGUAAAAGGCCAUAGAAUGACGGUACCUGCCUGAAGCCCCGGCUAACUACGUGCCAGCAGCCGCGGUAAUACGUAGGGGGCGAGCGUUGUCCGGAUUUACUGGGUGUAAAGGGUGCGUAGGCGGGCUAGUAAGUCAGUGGUUAAAAACCGUUGCUUAACAACGGGGGUGCCAUUGAUACUAUUAGUCUAGAGUUCGGUAGGGAGAGCUGGAAUUCCUGGUGUAGUGGUGAAAUACGCAGAUAUCAGGAGGAAUACCGGAGGCGAAGGCGAGCUCUUGGGCCGCUACUGACGCUGAGGCACGAAAGCGUGGGGAUCAAACAGGAUUAGAUACCCUGGUAGUCCACGCUGUAAACGAUGAUAACUCGAUGUCGGCCGUAAGGUCGGUGUCUAAGCAAACGCGAUAAGUUAUCCACCUGGGGAGUACGACCGCAAGGUUGAAACUCAAAGGAAUUGACGGGGGCCCGCACAAGCAGUGGAGCAUGUGGUUUAAUUCGAUGCAACGCGAAGAACCUUACC